GUUCUCUUAGCUCAGUGGUCUAGAGCAUUUGCUUUACAGUCUCUUACUAAGGAGCGCAAAGGGUCGUGGGUUCGACCCCCACAGAGAUCA
rnacentral:tRNA from 1 species